CCUGGCUCAGAUUGAACGCUGGCGGCAUGCUUUACACAUGCAAGUCGAACGGCAGCACGGGUGCUUGCACCUGGUGGCGAGUGGCGGACGGGUGAGUAAUGCAUCGGAACGUGUCCUAAAGUGGGGGAUAACGCAUCGAAAGAUGUGCUAAUACCGCAUAUUCUCUGAGGAGGAAAGUAGGGGAUCGAAAGACCUUAUGCUUUUGGAGCGGCCGAUGUCUGAUUAGCUAGUUGGUAGGGUAAUGGCUUACCAAGGCGACGAUCAGUAGUUGGUCUGAGAGGACGACCAGCCACACUGGGACUGAGACACGGCCCAGACUCCUACGGGAGGCAGCAGUGGGGAAUUUUGGACAAUGGCGCAAGCCUGAUCCAGCAAUGCCGCGUGAGUGAAGAAGGCCUGG
rnacentral:rRNA from 1 species